rnacentral:rRNA from 1 species
GAUGAACGCUGGCGGCGUGCCUAAUACAUGCAGGUCGAGCGAAUGGAUUAAGAGCUUGCUCUUAUGAAGUUAGCGGCGGACGGGUGAGUAACACGUGGGUAACCUGCCCAUAAGACUGGGAUAACUCCGGGAAACCGGGGCUAAUACCGGAUAACAUUUUGAACCGCAUGGUUCGAAAUUGAAAGGCGGCUUCGGCUGUCACUUAUGGAUGGACCCGCGUCGCAUUAGCUAGUUGGUGAGGUAACGGCUCACCAAGGCAACGAUGCGUAGCCGACCUGAGAGGGUGAUCCGCCACACUGGGACUGAGACACGGCCCAGACUCCUACGGGAGGCAGCAGUAGGGAAUCUUCCGCAAUGGACGAAAGUAUGACGGAGCAACGCCGCGUGAGUGAUGAAGGCUUUCGGGUCGUAAAACUCUGUUGUUAGGGAAGAACAAGUGCUAGUUGAAUAAGCUGGCACCCUGACGGUACCUAACCAGAAAGCCACGGCUAACUACGUGCCAGCCGCCGCGGUAA